UGCAAAUGCUGGAGUGGCAAUAUACCUGUGCUGCGCUUGCUGAUCCAAGGCAUAUGAAAAUGAGUGCAAAAUGCAGAGACGAUAACACAUCACUGGAGGAUUUACAUAAAGCGGAGAGGGUGGGGGAAGAGAUCAUUUUCUACAGCAUCGAAGACAACGUGAGCAUGGAGCAAAUUUCAGUAGAAUUAUUUUUGCAAAACACAGAUAUGUUUCUCAUGUUUGGUUUCUUAACACGUUGUCGUAAAUCAAAGCUGAGAAAAAGUCUUUAUUUUUAAUUCAGGCAUAGAAUUGUAAGAGGAAAUGUGAAGC
rnacentral:lncRNA from 1 species